rnacentral:tRNA from 1 species
GCCUGGCUAGCUCAGCUGGUUAGAGCGUAGUGCUAAUAAUACCAAGGUUGCAGGUUCAAUCCCCAUAUGGGACA